GACACAAUGAAGCCUUCUUUCUCGCCAGCUGGUUCUACUUCAGCAUAUGCAGGGUGUCCAGAUCCUCUCCGGAAUUUCAUGGCAGGCCAUCUGCUUGGCCGACGCUAGAAGCAGGGACAAGACAAGAGAGUCAGAUCAACCUCCUUUGAUAUGCAUUCCAAGAAAUAAUUAUCUGUGGCCCCUGAGAGAAAGGAAGCUUAUCAAAUAAUGUUAGACACACAUGAUGGACUUCAGACUUUUUUAUAGUACAAAAAGAUGGAGUUGAAUGCCUACCACAAUAUUCAUCUGGUCAAAACUAAUAGCGGAAAUUCUAUAUGCCCAGGCAGAAGAAAGAGAAGCAGGUCGUCUACAGAAGAGCCAUGGAACAGAACCAGGGAAGUCUGUCCAACCUUACUUAAAAUACCUGAAUUACCGUGAAAUCCUCUUACAUUUUUUCCCCCUUGGGGCCUCCUAGUAAUUUUGGCCCGUUGGAAGCUGUACAGUCUAAAUUUAUUAGAGCUAUUUUUCAAGUUUCCCCCUGUGUUCCCAACUCUCUUACCAGGUGAGAAGUAGGUCUUGCUAGGGUUGAAUCGGGUUACUGGACCUGUAUUAUAAAGUUUUGGUUAAAACUGUUUUUUGCCAAUGUAGGCCUGGCUUCCUUGGUAAUGAUUGAUGACUUCAAUUAUAAGUGGAAGACCUUGGUUCUUCAAUUUGGGUUCUCCCAUGAGAAAAUUCUUAGAUUAGGACAUGAUCAGGCCUGGCAGGUUAUUAAGCAGCACAUUGCUGAUACAGAAUUACAAGUGGAUACAGCCUGUCUAAGGAGUGGCAUAUAUCUGGGGAAACAACUUUUAAAUUCCAAACCGGCAGCAUAUUUAGAUAAUAUUCUUAUCCCUAAAUUUAGGCGUCCAUUUACUCUUGCCCGCCUAAACGCCCUUCCAACGGCUGUUAGGGAUGGUAGAUAUAAAGGGAUUCUGUUUAAUUUAAGGAUUUGCCCCUGUGGAAUGGGUGCUGUAGAAACUACCCCUCAACUUAUUUUAUAUUGUAAAUUUUAUAGCGAUGCUCGUUUAAAACUAAUUACUCCUCUUUUGGGGAAGUUUCCAGGCCACUCCGAUGAAUUUUAUUUAGAGUUUUUGUCAUCUAACUUUUGUAAAGAGAUCACUUUCAAUGUGGGUAGGUUUUGCUACAUUGUUUGUAUUAUACGCUGUAGUCUUAUGUAAUGUUUUUUGUUGUACAGUCUGAUCUAUGAUUGUAAUAAAGUUUAUCUAUCUAUCUUA